rnacentral:rRNA from 1 species
UGGGGAAUAUUGGACAAUGGGCGGAAGCCUGAUCCAGCAACGCCGCGUGAGGGAUGACGGCCUUCGGGUUGUAAACCUCUUUCAGUACCGACGAAGCGAAAGUGACGGUAGGUACAGAAGAAGGACCGGCCAACUACGUGCCAGCAGCCGCGGUAAUACGUAGGGUCCGAGCGUUGUCCGGAAUUAUUGGGCGUAAAGGGCUCGUAGGCGGUUUGUCGCGUCGGGAGUGAAAACAGCGGGCUUAACUCGUUGCUUGCUUUCGAUACGGGCAGACUAGAGGUAUGCAGGGGAGAAUGGAAUUCCUGGUGUAGCGGUGAAAUGCGCAGAUAUCAGGAGGAACACCGGUGGCGAAGGCGGUUCUCUGGGCAUUACCUGACGCUGAGGAGCGAAAGUGUGGGGAGCGAACAGGAUUAGAUCCCUGUAGUCCACACCGUAAAACGUUGGGCGCUAGGUGUGGGGUCCUUUCCACGGAUUCCGUGCCGUAGCUAAACGCAUUAAAGCGCCCCGCCUGGGGAGUACGGCCGCAAGGCUAAAAACUU